rnacentral:rRNA from 1 species
CUACCACAUCCAAGGAAGGCAGCAGGCGCGCAAAUUACCCACUCCCGGCACGGGGAGGUAGUGACGAAAAAUAACAAUACGGGACUCUUUUGAGACCCCGUAAUUGGAAUGAGUACACUCCAAACCAUUUAACGAGGAUCCAUUGGAGGGAAAGUCUGGUGCCAGCAGCCGCGGUAACUCCAGCUCCAAUAGCGUAUAUUAAAGUUGUUGCGGUUAAAAAGCUCGUAGUUGGAUCUCAGUUCCAGACGGGCGGUCCGCCUACCGGCGGUCACUGCCCCGUUCUGAACAGCCAGGCGUCUAUCUUCGAUGAUCUUUGCCGGUUGUCGUUGUUGGACGCCGAGUUUACUUUGAAAAAAUUAGAGUGCUCAAAGCAGGCGCGACGCCUGGAUAAUGGUGCAUGGAAUAAUGGAAUAGGACCUCGGUUCUAUUGCGUUGGUUUUCGGAACACGAGGUAAUGAUUAAGAGGGACAGACGGGGGCAUUCGUAUUGCGACGCUAGAGGUGAAAUUCUUGGACCGUCGCACGACGAACUACUGCGAAAGCAUUUGCCAAGAAUGUUUCCAUUAAUCAAGAACGAAAGUUAGAGGAUCGAAGGCGAUCAGAUACCGCCCUAGUUCUAACCAUAAACGAUGCCAGCCAGCGAUCCGGCUGUGUUCCUCAAAUGACACGCCGGGCAGCUUCCGGGAAACCAAAGCUUUUGGGUUCCGGGGGAAGUAUGGUU